rnacentral:ncRNA from 1 species
UAAACGUUUUGGCAAACUAAUCGAAAGGUUAGGACGCAAAGCCUCCGGUCUAAGGUUUAGUACUAAGAUAGCGGGGUUGCUGCA